rnacentral:rRNA from 1 species
GUAGGGAAUAUUGGACAAUGGGCGAAAGCCUGAUCCAGCCAUGCCGCGUGAUAGAUGAAGGCCCUCUGGGUUGUAAAUAUCUUUUAUCUGGGAAGAAACUCCUCUAUUCUUAGAGGCCUGACGGUACCAGAGGAAUAAGCACCGGCUAACUCCGUGCCAGCAGCCGCGGUAAUACGGAGGGUGCAAGCGUUAUCCGGAUUCACUGGGUUUAAAGGGUGCGUAGGCGGGUUGAUAAGUCAGUGGUGAAAGCUCCGGGCUUAACUUGGAAACUGCCAUUGAUACUGUCAAUCUUGAAUGUCGUAGAGGUAAGCGGAAUGUUGCAUGUAGCGGUGAAAUGCUUAGAUAUGUUACAGAACACCAAUUGCGAAGGCAGCUUACUAUGCGAUAAUUGACGCUGAGGCACGAAAGCGUGGGGAGCAAACAGGAUUAGAAACCCGGGUAGUCC